AUAUGAAUCAUCUGGGGAUCUUGCUAAAAGGCAGAUCUUGAUUUAGAAGCUCUAUAGUGGAUCUCAAGGUUUUUCAUUUUUAAUAAGCUCCCAGGUGAUGUCAAU
rnacentral:pre_miRNA from 1 species